rnacentral:rRNA from 1 species
AAAAGGCGGCGUAAGCUGUCGCUAAAGGAUGGACCCGCGGUGCAUUAGCUAGUUGGUAAGGUAACGGCUUACCAAGGCGACGAUGUAUAGCCGAGUUGAGAGACUGAUCGGCCACAUUGGGACUGAGACACGGCCCAAACUCCUACGGGAGGCAGCAGUAGGGAAUCUUCCACAAUGGGCGAAAGCCUGAUGGAGCAACGCCGCGUGAGUGAAGAAGGUUUUCGGAUCGUAAAGCUCUGUUGUUGGUGAAGAAGGAUAGAGGUAGUAACUGGCCCCUAUUUGACGGUAAUCAACCAGAAAGUCACGGCUAACUACGUGCCAGCAGCCGCGGUAAUACGUAGGUGGCAAGCGUUGUCCGGAUUUAUUGGGCGUAAAGCGAGCGCAGGCGGAAAGAUAAGUCUGAUGUGAAAGCCCCCGGCUUAACCGAGGAAUUGCAUCGGAAACUGUGUUUCUUGAGUGCAGAAGAGGAGAGUGGAACUCCAUGUGUAGCGGUGGAAUGCGUAGAUAUAUGGAAGAACACCAGUGGCGAAGGCGGCUCUCUGGUCUGUAACUGACGCUGAGGCUCGAAAGCAUGGGUAGCGAACAGGAUUAGAUACCCUGGUAGUCCAUGCCGUAAACGAUGAGUGCUAAGUGUUGGGAGGUUUCCGCCUCUCA